rnacentral:rRNA from 1 species
UACGUAGGGUGCGAGCGUUGUCCGGAAUUAUUGGGCGUAAAGGGCUCGUAGGCGGUCUGUCACGUCGGGAGUGAAAACCCAGGGCUCAACCCUGGGCCUGCUUCCGAUACGGGCAGACUAGAGGUAUGCAGGGGAGAAUGGAAUUCCUGGUGUAGCGGUGAAAUGCGUAGAUAUCUGGAGGAACACCGGUGGCGAAGGCGGCAUCCUGGACCGGUAUUGACGCUGAGGCGCGAAAGCCAGGGGAGCAAACGGG